AGAGUUUGAUCAUGGCUCAGAUUGAACGCUGGCGGCAGGCCUAACACAUGCAAGUCGAACGGUAACAGGAAGCAGCUUGCUGCUUCGCUGACGAGUGGCGGACGGGUGAGUAAUGUCUGGGAAGCUGCCUGAUGGAGGGGGAUAACUACUGGAAACGGUAGCUAAUACCGCAUAAUGUCGCAAGACCAAAGAGGGGGACCUUCGGGCCUCUUGCCAUCGGAUGUGCCCAGAUGGGAUUAGCUUGUUGGUGGGGUAACGGCUCACCAAGGCGACGAUCCCUAGCUGGUCUGAGAGGAUGACCAGCACACUGGAACUGAGACACGGUCCAGACUCCUACGGGAGGCAGCAGUGGGGAAUAUUGCACAAUGGGCGCAAGCCUGAUGCAGCCAUGCCGCGUGUAUGAAGAAGGCCUUCGGGUUGUAAAGUACUUUCAGCGGGGAGGAAGGGAGUAAAGUUAAUACCUUUGCUCAUUGACGUUACCCGCAGAAGAAGCACCGGCUAACUCCGUGCCAGCAGCCGCGGUAAUACGGAGGGUGCAAGCGUUAAUCGGAAUUACUGGGCGUAAAGCGCACGCAGGCGGUUUGUUAAGUCAGAUGUGAAAUCCCCGGGCUCAACCUGGGAACUGCAUCUGAUACUGGCAAGCUUGAGUCUCGUAGAGGGGGGUAGAAUUCCAGGUGUAGCGGUGAAAUGCGUAGAGAUCUGGAGGAAUACCGGUGGCGAAGGCGGCCCCCUGGACGAAGACUGACGCUCAGGUGCGAAAGCGUGGGGAGCAAACAGGAUUAGAUACCCUGGUAGUCCACGCCGUAAACGAUGUCGACUUGGAGGUUGUGCCCUUGAGGCGUGGCUUCCGGAGCUAACGCGUUAAGUCGACCGCCUGGGGAGUACGGCCGCAAGGUUAAAACUCAAAUGAAUUGACGGGGGCCCGCACAAGCGGUGGAGCAUGUGGUUUAAUUCGAUGCAACGCGAAGAACCUUACCUGGUCUUGACAUCCACGGAAGUUUUCAGAGAUGAGAAUGUGCCUUCGGGAACCGUGAGACAGGUGCUGCAUGGCUGUCGUCAGCUCGUGUUGUGAAAUGUUGGGUUAAGUCCCGCAACGAGCGCAACCCUUAUCCUUUGUUGCCAGCGGUCCGGCCGGGAACUCAAAGGAGACUGCCAGUGAUAAACUGGAGGAAGGUGGGGAUGACGUCAAGUCAUCAUGGCCCUUACGACCAGGGCUACACACGUGCUACAAUGGCGCAUACAAAGAGAAGCGACCUCGCGAGAGCAAGCGGACCUCAUAAAGUGCGUCGUAGUCCGGAUUGGAGUCUGCAACUCGACUCCAUGAAGUCGGAAUCGCUAGUAAUCGUGGAUCAGAAUGCCACGGUGAAUACGUUCCCGGGCCUUGUACACACCGCCCGUCACACCAUGGGAGUGGGUUGCAAAAGAAGUAGGUAGCUUAACCUUCGGGAGGGCGCUUACCACUUUGUGAUUCAUGACUGGGGUGAAGUCGGAACAAGGUA
rnacentral:rRNA from 1 species